rnacentral:rRNA from 1 species
AACGAACGCUGGCGGCAGGCCUAACACAUGCAAGUCGAGCGACUCGCCAGAGGAGCGGCAGACGGGUGAGUAACGCGUGGGAACGUACCCUUAUCUUCGGAAUAGCUCUGGGAAACUGGGAGUAAUACCGAAUGUGCCCUCAGGGGGAAAGAUUUAUCGGAUAAGGAUCGGCCCGCGUUGGAUUAGCUAGUUGGUGGGGUAAAGGCCUACCAAGGCGACGAUCCAUAGCUGGUCUGAGAGGAUGAUCAGCCACAUUGGGACUGAGACACGGCCCAAACUCCUACGGGAGGCAGCAGUGGGGAAUAUUGGACAAUGGGCGCAAUCCUGAUCCAGCCAUGCCGCGUGAGUGAUGAAGGCCUUAGGGUUGUAAAGCUCUUUCACCGGAGAAGAUAAUGACGGUAUCCGAAGAAGAAGCCCCGGCUAACUUCGUG